CUUUUAGUAAAUAUAAUUUUUGUUUGUUACAGGAGAUGUUACAACAAAACUUUGAAAAAUUAAACUGUACCAUAACAGCUGAAAAUGACCAAGUGGAGCCUGGAACAAGAGGUGCCACCACCAACACUGCACCAUCACCACCUAUGCCAAGGUGACAUGAUGCAACAUCUUCCCGAGGCAGUGGACCAGAAGGUAUGACACUGUAGACACUGGGAAGAAUACUUUCCUACCAUCACCAAGUGGCAUCAUCAACAUAACCAACCAACUGAAGUUAACCAGAGAUGGACACAAACUUCACCUGCUGCUGUAUUGUUCUUUCUCCAUCACUGCCUUAAGUGGACCUGAAUUGAGCUGGACCUGAUGUGAACUAGACUAAAGUGAGCUGGACCUCAGGUGAACUGGAACUAAAGUUAACUAAACCUGAUGUUACUGCACCUGCAAGUAAAGUAGACCUAAAGGACUAUCUGGUAUUUAUUUAAUAUUGUUCUGGUUGUAAUAUUAGGAAGGUUCUACCGGCAUUCCCUAGUUUUUAAGAGUUCUGUUCCUGAAAAACCACCCCACCAUCCCCUCCCCCCAGCUAGAAGGUGAUAGGAUAUUUAUGGUAAAGGUGUUUUUUGGCUUAUAACUUGCAUUGCUGGAAUCCUUGCAAGAUAGCAAUUAAAUUGAGUAUAAACAUCUCACAGUUUGCACUAGAGAUAAUUUUUUUUAGUCCUUUAGCCAAGUACAUUUGAGUACAGAGUGAGUACAGUUAUAUGUUGCUGAAAAUUAUGGCUUUUUCACAGGGAAACGUCUGUAUAACUAUCCCCAGUAGUUAGGAUAUUAUGUACUGUAUUUUGGGUGUUUUUUAUAUAAUUAUUUAUCGUUUUUAUACGUUUAGUACAUUUGCUGGAAGAUUCGGA